rnacentral:ncRNA from 1 species
GAAUAGAGGCGCAGCCAACAUCAGUACCGCGCGGUAGUCCCUCAUCGGACAGUGACCGCGCGCGAAAGGGAAGGCUGCCGAAGCGCUUGCCAGGUGAGAUGGCAAAGCGUUGGGCGGUUAGAAGAACAUUCUGCCGACUGUCACGGCUUGUGCCGUGGAGCGCUAUUCGU